GUGCUCCCUUCUGCAGCACGUAUACAAAAAUUGGAAUGUUACAGGGAAGAUUAGCGUCGCCACUGCGCAAACCUGAGAGGCAAAUUCGUGAACCCUUUCGUAUUUUU